CCAGAGGAAAAAAAAGGUGUCAGGAGGUUGGCCAGGGGCAAUGAGCUUAAGGAGAGGAGAAGAACACAGCAGGCACUGGGGAUCCAGACAGAAUUAUCUGGCCCAUGACACUCUCUCAGCUCAGGGUUACCCAGGGAAACCCCAAGAGUCAGGGGUUCCCAAAUCUCCAGCAGGGUGGAGGCACAACGCCAGGUGGAGAAAGACACGGGCACCACAGAGGCUGAGGCUUCCAGGGAGGAGAGAGGGCAACAGCAGAGCCUCGCCUGUGCCCAACUGCCCCCCUCCCUGGCAGGAUGAUCAUUUCACCUCCUCGGCCAGCCCAAAAUGUCAUGAAGAUUUAUUGACGAAAGUAGAGAGGACUAAUGAACUAAGAUACUCCUUCUGUCCAAACUGACUACAUGCAAGUUCAUCUCUCAAAAGUGUAGGGUGAGGCUAUUGGCCUCACUAGAGAUAUAGUAAGUAUGUGGUUGAUAUCUCAGGCUCGAAAUUACAAUCCUGGUUCUACUGUUCACUGACUUUGUGAUCUUGCAUAGGUCAUUUAAACUCUCAGAGCUCUGGUUCUUUAUCUGCAACGACAAAAUAACAAUUGUCACUAAUGUUGUUAUAAAGGUCAACUGAUAUACUGUAUAAUCCCCAGCACACAGCACUCUCUAAACAUAAGCUAGAAUAAAUGGUUUAAGGCCACACACACACAAAAAAAAAAAAAUAUAUAUAUAUAUAUAUAUAUAUGUGGCGAGAGAGCAGAGUGAGGGUGGGAUGAGAGUUAAGUGCAAUGGGUAGAACUUUGAGGCUCUGUUUCCUAAAUAUGAAGAUGGUUAGACUAACCUCAUGUGUGGGUCAAUGUGAGUGAUCAAAGCUCCGCGAAUCUUGGGACCAGGACUUCUGAAAGUCCAGUCCAGUUUCCUAUCUUUGUCUAACUAGCUGCCUAAAUGUAGGCAAAUCACUUAAUUGUUCUAUUUAUCAGUUCCUCUGUCUUUAUAACUGAGAUUCGUUCACUCGCCUAAUAAAUGUUUAGCGAACACUCGACAUGGCCCAAGUACUGAGCUUGUUUUUCUGGUGAUUAACCUCUAAGGCAGUUGAUAACUUGGUGGUUAAGACCACAGGCUCUGGGGUUAGGCAGACCUGGAUUUGAACCCAAACUCUGUCACUUACGAAAUGUGUGACAUUGAGAAAGUUACUUACACUGUCUGGGCUUCCCUCUCCUUAUCUGUAAGAUGGAGAAAAUGAAGGUUUCUAUGUUGUAGUGUAAUUAGGAAGAUCCAAUGAUUUAAUGAAUGUUUAGACCUUCGCAUGGUGCCUGGCAGGAACCAAGCACCUGGGAAACACUAGCAGCUGCUAAAAUAGGCUACUGCCUCCCCACCUCCCCACCGUGUCCUGCAGGAUCUCACAGUGGAGUCAUAAGUGCUGGGACCAAAGGACAAGCAACAUCUCAUGAAAGCAGAGAUAAAAGUGCCUUCCUCAAAUACUCAAGAGCUCUCUGGUGCAAGAGGAGUUAAACAUUGUAUGAAACACUAAGCAUUUAGCCAAGACCAAUACAGUAAAGCCUUUUCCUACAGGCAGAAGAGGCCAUAGCUAGAAAGGGCUACCUCAAUAGGUGGUGAGUUCCCAUCACUGCAGAUGUUCAAACAGAGGCUGCAUAGCACCCUUCUAAAAUGUUGAAGAUAAGAUCCGAGUACUAUCAUAUGGAAAUAUAUGUUCCUAAAUGUCGCUUUUAAUCUCGAAAUGCCAUGGAUAAUUAUUUCUGAGCCUGAGGAUCACAGAAAGCUGCCACCGAGAUAGCGGAACUUGAGUGAAGGCUUGGAGUAUGAUGGGAUUUUAAUACAAAGAAUAGAAAUAUUCUCUGCAAGGAGACACUAUGGCAAUGCCUGGAGGCCUGAGAGAACAAGGUGUGCUGGGACAGGGCAGCUAGUGUAGCUGAACACAGGGGCUCAGAUAAGAGGAGAACAGAGAAAUCAGGGAAGGUGUCAGAAUCCCAAAGAUACAAUUGGGCAGUAUUAUCACAAAUAGUCAUAUCACUGUGUGACACUCUAAAUCCACAGCUCACUAUGGUGAACAUUAGACACCAGUUCGGGACAGUCCCUGGUGCUACCCAGUUUCUUUUGGGCCUCAGCAUCCGUCUAGAGAGUACAAAGGGGCCUAGAUCAUAGCAGCUGCUCCACCCCUCACUCUGGAGAGAGAUCCAAAGAUCAGAGCUAGAGUCUCUACAUAUGGGAGUCAGGCCCCAGGCACAGGACAAGAGCACAGGAAACAGUGAGAAAGGCAUCGAAUCCAGUCAAGAGACCUGGAUUCAAGUUCCAGGCCUGCCACUUUCUAGAUAUUAUCUCAGCCACAUUAUUUAAUCUCUCUGAGACCCAUGGCUCAUUCAGAGAGAAGAUAUUAAUUCUCUCACUUGAUUUUGAGAGGAACUGUGUGAAAAGUGCUUUACCAAAUUACAGGAAUGUUGAUUGUUAUUUCUAAAUAACUUCUCUUCUUGGCUGUGCU
rnacentral:lncRNA from 1 species